UUGUCUGGCAGCUUGACAGGAAAUAGCCUUGAGCCUGAUCAGAUGGAGAGAGAAAAAAAUCUAUCAACGUGAGGAUGAAAGCCAGGUAAACGUCACAUUAUUGAUGACGGGAAAAGCUGAAAUGAUUGGAGUUGGCCGCCACGCGCAGCUGCUUGAUUGGCAGCUCGUCAAGGCCAAAGUUACAUCAGGUGCAGGAAAGGGGGCGGGACCAAAGGCGACGCAGAGGACCCACCGUGCGGACGCUGUACUUGGUGUCAAAAUCAAGAGUUCUUGCUUUGCCAGAAGCUACAAAACCUCAGGGUUCUUCCGUCGACAUGGCCGAAGAGCGGAUUCCUGGACGCCGUUCCUUCAAAGUAGGCUGGAUGAUGCCACAAAAGCAGCGGACGGAGUGAAUCGUCCGCUGGACCUGAAGGCCCCUCCCCCUUGUGUGUGCUGCUAUUUAUUUGCAAACAUACGUGACAAAGGCUCACCAGUUUUUCAUUUGAACCACAAAGUUAAAAACUAAACUGUGGGAGGAGAGUUAGACUUUAAUUGAGCAAAUAAGAACUGCUAUUUACUUCGCGUGGUUCCCUCACACCCUGCAAAGCCACAUUUUUCAAUAAAAUAAAAAUGUUUUGUGCGAGUGUUCAGGGAACACCAAACGUGGAGAAAAGUGCACCUAAACAAAAUCCACCCAUUUUUUUCUUAAUUUAACACUGUCAACCACAAGGCCUGGGGGCCACAUUAAUUUGUGGCCCGUGAAAGCAAAUCUAUAGACUUUGUUUCUUGCUAAAAUAACAUUUUUGUUACCAAUCCCCAUUUCACUGGCUUCUGAUUGCAAAUAUAGUUAUUCGAUUUUUUUGUGUGUAUAUGUGUUGGCCCUCCGAGGGAAACCUCCACAAAGCAGAUGUGAUAAUCACUUCCCUAAAUUUAAAGAUACAAAGAUAGCAACUUAAAUGUUUAAAUAUUUGACAUUUGCAAAGCCUAAUCGAAACUUAUUUUAAAAAAAAAAAUACUUUUUACAAAGCACUAAUGUGAGAACAUUUUUAGACCCUGGUUGCAGGGAAGUAAUGCCCCUCGUUAAAGAAAAUAUUGAACUCUAAUUUGUAAAUUUUUUUUUUAGAAAGCACCAAUGUAUAUUAGACAAUUAUGUAUUGUUUUAUAAUCCUGAAUUUUAGACCCGAGCUGCAGUCAAAAUUGUAAGAAAUAAAUUUGGUUUCUAAACUUUAAAAAUGUUUUCAGAAAGAACUAAUAUGCAUUACAAAUUAGUAUUUUUAGACCCUGGCUGCAGGUAAGUAGUGCACUUCAUACGGCCUCAAUUAAUUGACAUUUCCAAGCCUAAAGAUAAUCAAAAUUUAACUUGAAUUUUAUUUGGGAAAAAAAGGAUUUAGAUAAAAAUAUUUUAAUAUUUUUUUAAAUUCUCUAUUAUGCUUAUAUAAAUGACUGGCUACCAGAAACUAGUGCAAUCCUUAUGGCCUCAACCACUUCAUUGACUUAAAAAAAACAUACCUGUUCUUUUGAAGGUUCGUCUCGUGCAAAUGAAAGUUUCACAGUCACACGAAAAACCUUUUUGAUUUUCAAUGACGUAACGCAUUUGAAAAAAUGUCUAUGAUACACAAACAUAUAACAAUAUUGCAUACCAUUCAUGUCUGCAUUGAUUCUGCAUCUUAUGGCCAACAGAAUUGCUGGCGUAAGUACGUAGUUAUUUGUCCCCACAACAACAACAAACCCAUCCGAGCGAGGACCCCCCUCGAGGCAACAACACAUUUGAUUUGCAAAUAAAGCUCAAUGUACACCAUG